UAAAAGGACCCCAUCUAGGCAGAAGACAUAGCUCUGGGAUUUGAACCCAGCUCACUAGGAAGCAACAGUCAAGCAUGAAAACGAUGGGGAUUUGUUGCAUGGAUCUAAGCUGGCAUCUCCUUCCCUGCUGACCCCCCAGAAGAGCAGCACCCAAGAAAGGUUUGGUCAGGCCACACCUUAAGGGGCGCUUUGACCUAGCUUCCUGCUGAGGCUCUAAGGGUUUUUAGCUUCAAGAAAGAGCUAGCUGACCGCUCUUCUGGCUUCCUCUUCCUGCCAGCUGCAGACCUCUGUGCCUCUCCCCGAGAGCCUUCUGGCUCCUUUGGUCUGCUCUUGUCUGCUUGGCCAAAGGAGACAUCACUUGCUGGUGCCACUGGAGCCAGAGCAAUCAUAGCCCAGUGCAGAUGCGUGGGUGGGAGGUGGGCACGGAGGUGGGGAGCAGGGGGGAGCUGAUCAAAGCUGCUGGGGAUAUAGUCCCUCUUCUCCACCCCCCACCCCCACCCCCGUUGGUGCACUUGAAUUUGCUGAAUUACUUGAGCUCAGCUGAUAAACCCCCCGCAGAGGGCUCCCGGGAGAAAGCGCCUGCUGUGAAUGCACUAAUCAGAUUGAGUGAGAAGUUGCGAAGGCACCUUGGCCUGAAGUGUGAUAAUCCCGUUUCCAAUUUACCGAUUAUGCAAUAAGAAAACGUCUUUGGUAAUUUCAUAAGGAAAGCACAGGAGCCUGCUUACAGACCUCGCGCGUCCUCGCGAAAUCGUGAAUAAUAGUGGCUCCCCGCAAUAAAUGGAAGCAGUUGAGGAGAAAGAAAAAAAAAUCAAGAAUAAUUACUUUGUUUAUUAACAUGCGGUGAUUAACAUUUCAAAAGCAAUUUAAAUUAAAACAGCACCAAUCUGAGAUGGGGCCGAGGUGGGGAUCUGUCUGGAGGAAGGCAACGCUCCUUUGAACCUGGGCUUCGUGUUUUGUGUCUCCGGGUUUCGUGUCUUCUAAGGGGGCCUAUCACCAGUUUACACGCCAGAGGGUCAACCGGCAUCCACGAGCCCCAGACUUCCCGUGCCCACCGUGAUAGACUGUCCCCCCGAAACAACCACAUCCUAACCAUCCCUGAUUUUAUUUAUUCAUGAGAGACACAAGCAGAGGGAGAAGCAGG